rnacentral:rRNA from 1 species
GUCUACAGCCAUGCUCCCCUGAACAAGCUUGAUCCUGUCUGCUCUCAGCAGCUAAGCAGUGUCGGGCUUGGUUAGCUCUUGGAUGGGAGACUACCUAGGCAGACCAGGUGCUGUAGGCA